rnacentral:rRNA from 1 species
AUGCGGACAAGCGCGGCCACGUCGUCGCCACGGGAUGGCGGCUCCGGGGCUCUGACCCCCGCCCAGGGCGACAUGGGGAGCGGCGGCGCCAGGCGGCAUUUCUUCCCGCUCACCAGCUUGCAAAUCGGGGAUUUACAGUCAUAUCUUGCAGAGCUCACUAUAUUUUUGUGCCCCGAUACCAAGAAGUUCCUUAUAUUCCUUGACAACCGUCCAUGGUUGCUAGAUCAGAAUACAAAACCUGCUCACCUGUGGCAAUUGAUGGUUACCAAGUCAAGAUUUUCUCCUUUCGCGAACACUAGAACUAGGAGAAAGAGAGAUGAAGGUGGACAUAAGCUUGUAUUUUCAGAAUUCCCAACAUCUGCUCCACGUGUGUGGAAUCAAUCAUCCAGAUGGUAUACUCUGAUUGAUGAUACCAUGCGGAAAAAGAAGCUUCAAGUAAAUAAAUUGAAGGAUUCUCGCCUGCUGAAUAGGGAGCUGCAUCGGACAUUAUAUGGUUUUAUUAUUUUUGAGGUAGACUGGGCUGAUGUGCGUGGCAUUAAUUAUUUGAAUGAGCUUCAGACUGAUACAUCAAUGGUGGUCGAAGCUAAAAUAAUGAAGAGAUGGGAAUUCGAUAGUGUCAAUCAAGCUUCAUCUUUAAUCACUUCUUGGUUCUCAGGGAAUUACUCAGAGUGUCAGCUCUUACAAGAUUAUUUAAAUAGCAUCUCUCCUAAAGGUGAUGUUUUUUAUGAUGCCCUAGAUGACUUAACACCUGAAUUAUGGGACACUGAGAGUGUAAAGAGCGACGGUGAUGAUUCUGGAGAUUGUGUUAGGGUGUCGUCAAGUUCCACAAGCUCAUCAUACACCCCACCACCUUGCUCUGGACCUUACAAGAGAAGAAGGAUAACAAGAUCUGAUGCUGGAAGUGAUAUGUCUGAGGAACCAUACUCAGAAUUUGUGACCUCACCAAGAUAUUCAUCAUAUUCAUCUUCAUCAUGUUACAGUGAUAAUGACAGUGGCAAGCCACUGGUGGAGCCUAACACAUACAAGGAUGUGCUGAUCUUGUUCCGAUUCAAUGAUCAUGAUCUGCCGUUCAGACUAAAGGAAGUUAUACUGUCUGAUGUGAGGCUCUUAACAUUACUUGAGUAUGGUCUUCCUUCAUGGGUCAUUUUUCUUCAGUCAUAUCCAGUGUUCUGCAAGAUAUAUCGCCCAUGGAUGUGUCCUCUAGUCAGAGCACUAUACGUCUUGAUGUCAUUGAUUACUGUUCUUAUAGGAUUUUAUGACCUCUACAAGAAUGUACCAAUGUUGAAGGCAACUGCCUCUAGAUUAUUUGGCCCUUUGUUUGAUUGGAUAGAGACAUGGGAAAUGAUCUCAAGGCUUAAGUAUCUCGGAACCAUGCUUUUUCUGAACAAUUUCCAACAGGCUUUUACAUGGUCUCUUAAGAUUGUACGUGCUACUAAGUCUGUUCUUAGUGUAUUGACAAAGCCAAUUAUGGGGCCACUGUUGGAGGUUCUUGAAUUUACCCUGCCACUAUGGAACCUUUGUGCUGAAACAGUUGAAUAUCUCAGUUCAGCUGCAAUGGUAGCGAUGGAAACAUCAUUCAGUGCGGUUAUCAGUACAGUGCAGAUGAUCAUGUGGCCAUUUUGGUUUAUCUUCAGUACGAUGUUUAAUAUAGCCAAUUCAAUCUUGUACCCUGUAAUUUGGUUCGUCGGAGAGAUACUAGCUGCACCUUUCCGACUUGUCGUUGCGCUAGCAAGUUUUGUAGCAGACUUCUUUGAUGAUAUUGUUGAUGUUUUAAGGCAGACCUGGUCAACAUUAAGUUCGUUAUAUCAAGUUGGUUCUGCAUCCAGAGCACCUGCGCUUACAUCUGAAACUUCCAUUUGGGGAUCACUCUGGAAAGAUCUUCUGUACCAGAUUUUCCGUGCAGUCCGGAGCAUUUUGUACGGUUUUGUUGCCUUCUUUUCAACAUGCAAUAGGCAUCGGCUCAGCAUAUACAACCACAUAGAAGUUCUUCUCCGGCGCCUGUCCCGCGCCUUAAAUGGCACGCGACAUACCUCCUCUUGUGAAGGAGCUCAGAAGUAUACUAGUCAAGAUCAUCCUCAAAGGAAAACCAAGACGAGAUGA